rnacentral:lncRNA from 1 species
AUGUACAGCUGAUACCAGGCUGAAGUGGAUCAGGAGGCUGAGGAACUAAGCCAGUGUCAGGUGGUGCACCAGGCUGCCCAAGUAAGAGGCCCUACACAUGCAGGUAGGAAGGCUGUACAUGGCCUUUCUUCCCUUCUGAUGAGCUUGGGCGAAAUAUGUGGAUAUAUAACAGAUAUAGAUCGCAUAGAUGUGAUCAGUGGGGCUGACAGUUCAUGAGAUCUGACCACCUCAGGCAGCACCAAAGGAUUCAUCAGCAGAUGCCAAGAUCUUCAGAUCCAUAGGCUGAUAAUGAAGAGAUGGAUGGUCCUCCUUCUCCUUGUCUUUAG